UACGUAGGGUGCAAGCGUUGUCCGGAAUUAUUGGGCGUAAAGAGCUCGUAGGCGGUUUGUUGCGUCGGCUGUGAAAUCCCGAGGCUCAACCUCGGGUCUGCAGUCGAUACGAGCAAACUAGAGUGUUGCAGGGGAGACUGGAAUUCCUGGUGUAGCGGUGAAAUGCGCAGAUAUCAGGAGGAACACCGGUGGCGAAGGCGGUUCUCUGGGCCUGUACUGACGCUGAGGAGCGAAAGCGUGGGGAGCAAACAGG
rnacentral:rRNA from 1 species